rnacentral:rRNA from 1 species
UACGGGGGGUGCGAGCGUUGUCCGGAAUCACUGGGCGUAAAGGGCGCGUAGGUGGUCUGAUAAGGGUGUGGUGAAAGCCCGGGGCUCAACCCCGGGUCGGCCGUGCCGACUGUUAGACUAGAGUGCUGUAGGGGCAGGCGGAAUUCCGGGUGUAGCGGUGGAAUGCGUAGAGAUCCGGAAGAACACCGGUGGCGAAGGCGGCUCUCUAGUACGGUACUGACGCUGAGACGCGAAAGCGUGGGGAGCGAACAGG